UACGUAGGGGGCAAGCGUUGUCCGGAAUUAUUGGGCGUAAAGAGCGCGUAGGCGGUCCGAUAAGUCGGCUGUGAAAGUCAGGGGCUCAACCCUUGGAAGCCGGCCGAUACUGUCGGACUAGAGUCCGGAAGAGGCGAGUGGAAUUCCCGGGUGUAGCGGUGAAAUGCGCAGAUAUCGGGAGGAACACCAAUGGCGAAGGCAGCUCGCUGGGACGGUACUGACGCUGAGGCGCGAAAGCGUGGGGAGCAAACAGGG
rnacentral:rRNA from 1 species